AGCAGCCGCGGUAAUUCCAGCUCCAAUAGCGUAUAUUAAAGUUGUUGCAGUUAAAAAGCUCGUAGUUGAAUUUCGGGAUCAAUGCGUCGGUCGUGCUUUCGGGUACGUACUGGUGUCAUUGGUUUCUCCUUUCUGACGAGCCGUGAUGUCAUUAAUUUGGUGUUACGGGUAGUUAGGACUGUUACUUUGAAAAAAUUAGAGUGUUUAAAGCAAGCUAACGCUUGAAUACAUUAGCAUGGAAUAAUGAAAUAGGACGUUCGAUCCUAUUUUGUUGGUUUCUAGGAUUGACGUAAUGAUUAAUAGGGAUAGUUGGGGGCAUUAGUAUUCAAUUGUCAGAGGUGAAAUUCUUGGAUUUAUUGAAGACUAACUACUGCGAAAGCAUUUGCCAAGGAUGUUUUCAUUAAUCAAGAACGAAAGUUAGGGGAUCGAAGACGAUCAGAUACCGUCGUAGUCUUAACCAUAAACUAUGCCGACUAGGGAUCGGAUGAUGUUAAUUUUUAAUGACUCAUUCGGCGCCUUA
rnacentral:rRNA from 1 species